rnacentral:rRNA from 1 species
UACGUAGGGACCGAGCGUUGUCCGGAAUCAUUGGGCGUAAAGAGCGUGUAGGCGGCCUUUUAAGUCCUGCGUGAAAUCCUGCGGCUCAACCGCAGACGGUCGUGGGAAACUGGAAGGCUAGAGUGCGGGAGAGGAGACUGGAAUUCCUGGUGUAGCGGUGAAAUGCGCAGAUAUCAGGAGGAACACCGGUGGCGAAGGCGGGUCUCUGGGCCGAUACUGACGCUGAGGAGCGAAAGCGUGGGGAGCGAACAGG